ACAGCAGUGGUUCAGUGGUAGAAUUCUUGCCUUCCAUGUGGGAGAUCCAGGUUCAAUUGCUGACCGAUGUA
rnacentral:tRNA from 1 species